GAUAAAGAUUCUAGGCAAAAUGUUUUAGGAGAGCAUGCCUUACCAAUAGAUAGAGACAUUCGAGAGCAUUUAUAUAUAUUUUUUAAAUGCUAGGCUUGACACUAAAUUAGUUUANAAUUACUCUAUCUUUUUGUUUUUUAAUAAUAUAUCAUUGUUCCAGGAGGUGGCUACUUUGAAACAAGAUCUACGUAAACAAAGUCUGCAUUGGACAUAUCCCAUGGAAAGUUAAGAUUAUUACGUGACUUUUUCAUUGUAUGGUUUUUAUACUUGCUGAUUUUGUUCUAAUUUCCUUGUCUUCUCUUGGCUUGUACAUACUAAAAGAUUUUUCUUUAAUAUGCUCUUAUCUCUAACUUAAUGACUUCUCUUUUUGUUUGAUGAGUCAAUAUUUUUAUUUUCUUUCUACUUAUAUGAAUAGAGAGCAUUUAAUAUGAAGAUUAUUCUUAGGAUGGAUCCAAACUGAAUCAAAUCAGUGUCAAAAUAAAAAAGAGUCAAAUCUGUCAAGAAAACAAUAUUCAGAAGUAUGACUUCUGUAGCUCUUGUUUGCUUUUAUUUUGAGUUUUAUUUUACCAUUUUGUUCUGUUUGACUUUACAGUGUACAUGUACAGCAGCCCACACAUAUUUUAGGAAACUUGACUUUGUUACCUUUGUUAUCCAGGGAGAACAGGGUGUGCAAAUAAUUUUUUGUGCCAGAACUGGUUGAGUUUCUUAUGUCAACCUUGGUUAAGGUACCUUAUGUAAACAUCUCAUUCUCAUAAGGAAUAUUUGUGAUUGUAAUAGUUAAUGUAUGAUUGGCAUUGACCUGGAUAUGAACUUUGUUUCCAAAAAUCUAUGAUUGUAGUAUGACAGAGUGCUC
rnacentral:lncRNA from 1 species